rnacentral:rRNA from 1 species
UGGGGAAUAUUGCACAAUGGGCGCAAGCCUGAUGCAGCCAUGCCGCGUGUGUGAAGAAGGCCUUCGGGUUGUAAAGCACUUUCAGCGGGGAGGAAGGCGAUAAGGUUAAUAACCUUGUCGAUUGACGUUACCCGCAGAAGAAGCACCGGCUAACUCCGUGCCAGCAGCCGCGGUAAUACGGAGGGUGCAAGCGUUAAUCGGAAUGACUGGGCGUAAAGCGCACGCAGGCGGUCUGUCAAGUCGGAUGUGAAAUCCCCGGGCUCAACCUGGGAACUGCAUUCGAAACUGGCAGGCUAGAGUCUUGUAGAGGGGGGUAGAAUUCCAGGUGUAGCGGUGAAAUGCGUAGAGAUCUGGAGGAAUACCGGUGGCGAAGGCGGCCCCCUGGACAAAGACUGACGCUCAGGUGCGAAAGCGUGGGGAGCAAACAGG